AGCUCUAGCGUGACAGUUUGGUCCCUUUUUGCACCCUGGGUUUAUGGGUUUUCUAUCAAGACUUAAUGGCGACUUCAGUCAUCCUGCUCUUGAUGGCCUUCUUCAGAGAGGCGAUGGACUCCCUGUUCAUCUUAACUGAUGUCACUGCAACCCAGGCAGAUGUGGAGGCACAGCAGGUCAUACCAGAUACCAGAGACACCCAGACUCAUUAUGCUCGGUAAGUUUGUAC